GACGAACCGUGCGAACGUUGUUCGGAAUCACUGGGCUUAAAGGGCGCGUAGGCGGGCUGCCAAGUCUGGGGUGAAAUCCCACGGCUCAACCGUGGAACUGCCUCGGAUACUGGCGGCCUCGAGGGAGGUAGGGGCGUGCGGAACUGUGGGUGGAGCGGUGAAAUGCGUUGAUAUCCACAGGAGCUCCGGUGGCGAAGGCGGCACGCUGGACCUUUUCUGACGCUGAGGCGCGAAAGCCAGGGGAGCAAACGGG
rnacentral:rRNA from 1 species